CGGAGCGUAGCGCAGCCUGGUAGCGCAUCUGCUUUGGGAGCAGAGGGUCGCGAGUUCGAAUCCCGCCGUUCCGACCA
rnacentral:tRNA from 1 species